GGGUAGUUGGUUUGUGGAGAUGCGUGAUUAUGGUUUAUGAACUUUGAUCUUGAUUGGAAAAAAUCCUAGUAUCCUGACUUAUUUGAAAAAAAAGGAAGAAGAAAAGAAAAGAAAAGAAAGAAAAGAAAAGAAAAGAAAAGAAAAGAAAAAAAAAGAGAUACAUAGGAUGCUUUAGAAAGUCAUAAUGUCAUGAGGAAUAAUUGAUGAGUUGUGAUGAUUUUGUAUUGAAAAUUUUGGUUUUAUGGGAGGUGGAGAAUUGUGCUGAGUAAGAAUGCUAUAAGGUUGGUGAUUGUGCUACAUUGAGAGUAUUUAUUAGUCACUUAGCCAAAUAUAUCCUACCCUACCAAAGAGCCUACAUUACAACCCU
rnacentral:lncRNA from 1 species